UACAGGGGGUGCAAACGUUGCUCGGAAUCAUUGGGCGUAAAGCGCACGUAGGCGGCUUGUCACGUCGGGUGUGAAAGCCCGGGGCUUAACCCCGGGUCUGCAUUCGAUACGGGCUGGCUAGAGUGUGGUAGGGGAGAUCGGAAUUCCUGGUGUAGCGGUGAAAUGCGCAGAUAUCAGGAGGAACACCGGUGGCGAAGGCGGAUCUCUGGGCCAUUACUGACGCUGAGGAGCGAAAGCGUGGGGAGCGAACAGG
rnacentral:rRNA from 1 species